CUAAUAUGCUGUAAGAAACUGGCUAUAUGGUAGGAUAUGUGGAAGAAAACAAAGACCCCAGCCAACAUACUCAAUGGAGCUCCCAAUGGAUCUUUUUGCCAACCACUUUGAAAACUGAUCUACAAAACCCACUUGAGCUAUCUCGAGAGAAGUCACAUGGGACAGAGAAGCAGACGGAUC